rnacentral:rRNA from 1 species
UUAGGAAAGCGAGCGGCGGAUGGGUGAGUAACACGUGGGGAACCUGCCCCAUAGUCUAGGAUACCACUCGGAAACAGGUGCUAAUACCGGAUAAGAAAGCAGAUCGCAUGAUCAGCUUUUAAAAGGCGGCGUAAGCUGUCGCUAUGGGAUGGCCCCGCGGUGCAUUAGCUAGUUGGUAAGGUAAAGGCUUACCAAGGCGAUGAUGCAUAGCCGAGUUGAGAGACUGAUCGGCCACAUUGGGACUGAGACACGGCCCAAACUCCUACGGGAGGCAGCAGUAGGGAAUCUUCCACAAUGGACGCAAGUCUGAUGGAGCAACGCCGCGUGAGUGAAGAAGGUUUUCGGAUCGUAAAGCUCUGUUGUUGGUGAAGAAGGAUAGAGGUAGUAACUGGCCUUUAUUUGACGGUAAUCAACCAGAAAGUCACGGCUAACUACGUGCCAGCAGCCGCGGUAAUACGUAGGUGGCAAGCGUUGUCCGGAUUUAUUGGGCGUAAAGCGAGCGCAGGCGGAAGAAUAAGUCUGAUGUGAAAGCCCUCGGCUUAACCGAGGAACUGCAUCGGAAACUGUUUUUCUUGAGUGCAGAAGAGGAGAGUGGAACUCCAUGUGUAGCGGUGGAAUGCGUAGAUAUAUGGAAGAACACCAGUGGCGAAGGCGGCUCUCUGGUCUGCAACUGACGCUGAGGCUCGAAAGCGUGGGUAGCGAACAGGAUUAGAUACCCUGGUAGUCCAUGCCGUAAACGAUGAGUGCUAAGUGUUGGGAGGUUUCCGCCUCUCAGUGCUGCAGCUAACGCAUUAAGCACUCCGCCUGGGGAGUACGAACCGCAAGGUUGAAACUCAAA